rnacentral:rRNA from 1 species
UACGAAGGGGGCAAGCGUUGUUCGGAAUUACUGGGCGUAAAGGGCGCGUAGGCGGCUUAUCAAGUCAGGCGUGAAAGCCCCGGGCUCAACCUGGGAACUGCGCUUGAGACUGGUGGGCUAGAGUUCGGGAGAGGAUGGUGGAAUUCCCAGUGUAGAGGUGAAAUUCGUAGAUAUUGGGAAGAACACCGAUGGCGAAGGCAGCCAUCUGGACCGACACUGACGCUGAGGCGCGAAAGCGUGGGGAGCAAACAGG